rnacentral:rRNA from 1 species
GAGACUCUGUGCGCGUGCAUAUCAAUAAGCGGAGGAAAAGAAACUAACAAGGAUUCCCUUAGUAACGGCGAGUGAAGCGGGAAGAGCUCAAAUUUGAAAUCUUCAAGGUUCUACCUUGACGAAUUGUAGUUUAUAGAAGUGUUUUCUGUUAGUAGAGUGGCAAAAGUUCUUUGGAAUAGGACAUCAUAGAGGGUGAGAAUCCCGUAUUUGGUCAUUCUUUCUAGCUUUGUGAUACACUUUCAACGAGUCGGAUUGUUUGGGAAUGCAGUCCAAAAUGGGUGGUAAAUUUCAUCUAAAGCUAAAUAUUGGCGAGAGACCGAUAGCGAACAAGUACCGUGAGGGAAAGAUGAAAAGAACUUUGAAAAGAGAGUUAAACAGUACGUGAAAUUGUCAAAAGGGAAGCGUUUGACACCAGUGUUGUUUUUUCCGAAAAUCAAUUACGAAUGUUUUAUUUUUGAGGAAGUUAUGACCUCAUCGGCUUGCUCCUUCUCUUUACUGAAACUUUCUUAAUGCACUUUUCGGUUAACAAGUCAACAUCAAUUUCUUUUGUUGUAAAAGGGUAUGAGGAAGGUGGCUUUCUUUUCGGAGAAAGUGUUUAUAGCCUUGUACCUCUGCAAUCGGAGAGAUUGAGGUCUGCAGCGUAGAUCCUUCGGGGUUAGAUACAGUUUGUGCUAAGUUAUAGCUUUUCAUAGACAACUUGUUGACUAUGUUUAGUCUUGUAGCUUACUCGCUUACGCUAUUUUACCUACGCUUAGGAUGUUGAACUCUAUCACACACAG